GAAAGCUUCACAAAAGGCCAAAUUUCACUGACCUCCUCCAUAUCCAUCUGGCUUUCUUUGAGUCCUUCAAGAGAUCCCUUCUGUUUCUGCUUUAAUGGAAGAGGUCAGUUAGUUCCAGUACAUGGGGUCCAUGCAGAUUUCUGGGUCACCCUUAUUUUCCUCUUUAAUACCAUCUUUCUUGUGAUGCAACUUUUGUUUCUUUCUUCUUUGUCAAAAGGGGGA
rnacentral:misc_RNA from 1 species